rnacentral:rRNA from 1 species
UACGGAAGGCAGCAGUGGGGAAUAUUGCACAAUGGGCGAAAGCCUGAUGCAGCUAUGCCGCGUGUAUGAAGAAGGCCUUAGGGUUGUAAAGUACUUUCAUCGGGGAGGAAAAACAAAACUAAUAAUUUUAUUUCUUGACGUUACCCGAAAAAGAAGCACCGGCUAACUCCGUGCCAGCAGCCGCGGUAAUACGGAGGGUGCUAGCGUUAAUCAGAAUUACUGGGCGUAAAGAGCACGUAGGUGGUUUUUUUAAAGUCAGAUGUGAAAUCCCUGGGCUUAACCUAGGAACUGCAUUUUGAAACUGAAAUACUAGAGUAUCGUAGAGGGAGGUAGAAUUCUAGGUGUAGCGGUGAAAUGCGUAGAUAUCUGGAGGAAUACCUGUGGCGAAAGCGGCCUCCUAAACCGGAAUACCUGACACUGAGGUGCGAAGCGUGGGGAGCAAACAGGGAUUAGAUACC